rnacentral:lncRNA from 1 species
GUGUGAAAGGAUUUUAUUUAGAGAAAUAGAUAAAACUAUUAUAUCUUGGAGUGAAACCCCUACUCUAACCAAAAUCUUUUAGUUGUAGUAAAAUAUUAUAUGGAAAAUAUAGUCUUUUUAGUGUUGAAUUGACAAAGUUGCCCUUACUAAUAUAUUUUGAUUAAUUAGUUUUGUACUAAUUUUCAAAAAUUUCACAAAAUAGUAAAAUCAAAAAAAGUUAAAAGAAAA